GUGCUUGCUUUGGCAGCACAUAUACAAAUGUUGGAACGAUACCGAGAUGAUUAACAUUGCCCCUGCGCAAGAAUGACAUGCAAAUUCGUGAAGCGUUCCAUAUUUUU